ACUUAAACAACUUAACAUAUCUCGAUUAUAUAUCCAUCAAAUUUAACAUGCAUUUCUUGAGAUCACAAUGAACGAACAUUCCAUAAACGAAUUCUAUCAUACAUUUUCCUAUCAACACGAUGAGAAAACUUUCCAUAAAUAAUUCUAUCCAAACAUAAACACAAUCAUAUUGAAUCAAAACCAGAAAAUUAGUUCUUAUUGGACUGCCACGAAUCACAUCCUCACCUGGAUUGAUCUUAAAAGAUCGAAGACUAUGAACUUAGCUGCGUUUUUCCGGCGAAGAAUCCUGCGAUCCUCCUUGCCCGAUCCUCCCUUCCCAAACUCUCUCUCUAGGACUGCGUUCUUGCUCUUGCCUCUCUCUAAGACUUGGUUUUUGAUUUCUAUCUAGAACGAGAGCUGAAGCUCCCUUUUUAUAUUACUCUUGGACUUGCUCACCAAGCCGGAAAUUUAUUGCUGUUUCCUUAUUUGGCUUGGACAAACCUUUCCCACAAAGUCUUGACUGAAUCUCUACAAUUCUUUCCUUAAACGACUCCCGAAGACCCGACCUUCCUUUCGAACAUCCCGUCAAAGAUGACUUUAUCGAACUUGCCUUACUUGGAACCCGCAUUCCCGAACGUCCGAACUUU
rnacentral:lncRNA from 1 species